AAUGAUAUGCCUGAUAAAAGGGUUAUUUUGAUAGAAUAAUACAUAUAAAUUUUUUUAUUUUCAUUA
rnacentral:tRNA from 1 species